AUAAAUCACAAUGCGGGACUAUUUAGUUUUGCAAUUGGAUUGAGAACAAUGUACAAGAGUUAUCGAUAAACAAUUGGAGGGCAAGUCUGGUGCCAGCAGCCGCGGUAAUUCCAGCUCCAAUAGCGUAUAUUAACGUUGUUGCAGUUAAAAAGCUCGUAGUUGAAGUGUGGGGUGAAAGGUUUGUUUUGCUUUUGCAAGAUGUUCUGCUCACCCCCUCUCCAAUGUGUUAUUAUGGGUAUUAAUUUACUUGUAAUAGCUAUUGGUCAUUUACUGUGAGAAAAUUAGAGUGUUCAAAGCAGGCAUUUGCUUGAAUAUAUUAGCAUGGAAUAAUAGUAAAAGGCUUUUAUGGUCGAUUUAAUUGGUUUGUUCAUGAAAGCAAGAUUAACAGGGACAGUUGGGGGUAUUCAUAUUCAAUAGUUAGAGGUGAAAUUCUCGGAUUUAUGGAAGAUGAACAAGUGCGAAAGCAA
rnacentral:rRNA from 1 species